GGGCGAUUAGCUCAGCGGGAGAGCACUGCCUUCACACGGCAGGGGUCACUGGUUCGAUCCCAGUAUCGCCCA
rfam:Deltaproteobacteria bacterium RIFOXYD12_FTLL_53_23 rifoxyd3_full_scaffold_9295, whole genome shotgun sequence.